UACGGGGGGGGGCAAGCGUUGUUCGGAAUUACUGGGCGUAAAGGGCGCGUAGGCGGCCCUGUUAAGUCGAACGUGAAAUCCCCGGGCUCAACCCGGGAACUGCGUCCGAUACUGGCAGGCUUGAAUCCGGGAGAGGGAUGUGGAAUUCCAGGUGUAGCGGUGAAAUGCGUAGAGAUCGGGAAGAACAUCAGUGGCGAAGGCGGUCGUGCUGGGCCGU
rnacentral:rRNA from 1 species